AUGCAAGUCGAACGCAGUAGCAAUACUGAGUGGCAGACGGGUGAGUAACAUGUGGGAAUCUGCCUUGUGGUUCAGGACAACAUUGGGAAACCGAUGCUAAUACUGGAUAAGCCCUUACGGGGAAAGUUUUAAUGCCAUAAGAUGAGCCCGCAUUUGAUUAGUUAGUUGGUGAGGUAAUGGCUCACCAAGACAAUGAUCAAUAGCUGAUCUGAGAGGAUGAUCAGCCACACUGGGACUGAGACACGGCCCAGACUCCUACGGGAGGCAGCAGUGGGGAAUCUUGCACAAUGGAGGAAACUCUGAUGCAGCGAUGCCGCGUGAGUGAAGAAGGCCUUUGGGUUGUAAAGCUCUUUUGUAGGGGAAGAUAAUGACUGUACCCUAAGAAUAAGGUCCGGCUAACUUCGUGCCAGCAGCCGCGGUAAUACGAAGGGACCUAGCGUAGUUCGGAAUUACUGGGCGUAAAGCGCGCGUAGGCCGUUGAGUUAGUUAAUUGUGAAAUCCCAAAGCUUAACUUUGGAACUGCAAUUAAAACUGCUCGACUAGAGUUUGAUAGAGGAAAGCGGAAUACAUAGUGUAGAGGUGAAAUUCGUAGAUAUUAUGUAGAACACCAGUUGCGAAGGCGGCUUUCUGGAUCAACACUAACGCUGAGGCGCGAAAGUAUGGGUAGCAAAGAGGAUUAGAUACCCUCGUAGUCCAUACCAUAAACGAUGAUUGCUAGAUG
rnacentral:rRNA from 1 species